rnacentral:sRNA from 10 species
GCUGGGCAUGGUGGCGCGCGCCUGUAGUCCCAGCUACUUGGGAGGCUGAGGCAGGAGAAUCACUUGAACCCGGGAGGCAGAGGUUGCAGUGAGCUGAGAUUGCUCCACUGCACUCCAGCCUGGCAACAGAGCGAGAAUCUGUCCCAAAAAAAAAAAAAAAAGAAGAAGAAAAAUAAGAAGGGGUGAACUGGCCAAGGUCAGAGAGAGCAGCUCAAAAUGCUGAUUGAUCAGUAGUGGGAUUGUGCCUGCGAAUACCCACUGCACUCCUGCCUAGGCAACAGAGACCCUGUCUCU